AACGAACGCUGGCGGCAUGCCUAACACAUGCAAGUCGAACGAGACCUUCGGGUCUAGUGGCGCACGGGUGCGUAACGCGUGGGAACCUGCCCUUAGGUUCGGAAUAACUCUCCGAAAGGGGUGCUAAUACCGGAUAAUGUCUUCGGACCAAAGAUUUAUCGCCUUUGGAUGGGCCCGCGUUGGAUUAGCUAGUUGGUAGGGUAAAAGCCUACCAAGGCGACGAUCCAUAGCUGGUCUGAGAGGAUGAUCAGCCACACUGGGACUGAGACACGGCCCAGACUCCUACGGGAGGCAGCAGUGGGGAAUAUUGGACAAUGGGCGAAAGCCUGAUCCAGCAAUGCCGCGUGAGUGAUGAAGGCCUUAGGGUUGUAAAGCUCUUUUACCCGGGAUGAUAAUGACAGUACCGGGAGAAUAAGCUCCGGCUAACUACGUG
rnacentral:rRNA from 1 species